CUGUCAGGCGACUGCGAGACUUGGCGAAGUAAGGAAGGUAAAUACGCUGAGCGUUAUGGAACAGACGCUGAAUUAAGCACCCGCCACAGCGACGUGACUGUGCGUGCCGAUAGUCGGGCUUAGGGGAGCAACCUGCCGCUUCCGCCCGUGCUAUGGGAGCAGCGAUAAUGCACCACCAGGAUGGCGGAAGCACACCAGUGUAGCCCGGAGCCCCUGUGUUUCACUACAUGCGCAGUUCUAUGAGCGCGGAGGAGCUGGAGCAGGCGUAGCCGCCGAGCCCUGCGUGCAGCUCAGAGCGACAACUCCCUGCAAAUCACCAUACACGCUUCCUGGCAGCUCUGCAGUGCUUACAUACAAAACAUUUCUUUUAUGUCAGCGUUUUGUUACAUUGUGGUUGUUUAAAGUUAAACUAAUACAUUUGCUUGUACUAAUAGACAGUUAUGUCGACCCUGACACAGUUUGAAAAACGAAACAGUUAAUAAAAUAAGUAAAUUGGUUUUUUUUGUAUUAUCACUUUUAGGCAUGAUGCGUGAAUCCAGACCAAUAAAGAAACGGAAAAAAGUAAUUUAUUUUCAGUUUUGAACCUAAUUCUGUCUGUAUUCUGCCAAGCUGCCUCCCUCGGCGCGGUAAUCAGUGUUGUGCGCUUUAGUAGAUGUUACACUUCCGACGCACGGAAACCCCCCCGUCUGCUGCUUGCCAACAGCGAGGGUCGAGGCCUGUCUAGGCGUCGACUGAUAGAGGACAGACGAUGUCUCUUCUGCGUCUGCUACUAAAUGUCGCUGAAUCAAACCCUCAGCUGCUGUUCUGCUGAAAGUCCAGAAUUUGUUAAAACCAGAAAUGUAUAAAACACAGAUAAACCUUGAUCUGUCAGUCGUGCAGUGCUGAAGAGCAUCUGACUGCUCUGGGGCUCUUCUGUGUGGCCUUAUAGACGCCUGUGAUUGGCCGACGCCUGUGAUUGGCUGACACCUGUGAUUGACAAAUGUCAUCUCAAUCAUCAUCACUAUGCUGGAAGACUCUGGACCUCUAGGCCUGGUUGGAUGAAGCAUCAACAGGAAGUCCUAGUGAAGUUGUUGGAGUCCAACGUCUUAGCCAGCUGCACUACUGGGGUGUAUAUGGUGGAGCAUCAUGCCAGCUGUCACAGAAGACCAAGAAGGUUUGGGCAUGUGUUUGAGCACAAUGUCCCACCAAAAGCGCUGGGGUCCAGAAAACCACGUCCUCAAGCUGCCUGUGUGUAUGCAGCCUGAACACUUACCGAGGAGGGACCCGCCUGUCGCCUGCACCCGGACGGACUGACAUCGAUUCACUGUCUUAUGGUAACUCGGAAUCAACGGGAGGCACUCAAAGCCUGCUGGUGUAUAAAUGCAGCAUGCAUGUUCAGAUCCUUUUAAUACAUCUGUGAUUUACCCUCACACUAGUGUGAGUGGCAGUGUGCGUUAGGGCUACUGAACCGAAAACCAGCACGGGCUUGUUUCACCUGCGCCUCCGUCCUGUCACGAGGGCUUCAUCUUACUCCUAACCUCAGCUCAGGCAGAGACCGUUUUUAAGGUGAGUGGUGUGUGCACAGACAGCUUGGCCUAGUUUUUCCUGGAAGAGACGGGAAUUCCGUGGAGUUUAGGACUCUCUGUUAUGCACACAUCUGCUCACAGCUACUGUCCACCCGCCCUGGCAUGUUGGGCGUUAACUUUCUAUUGUGCAGCGUCUGGUGUGUGGACUGGAGCAGGCUGGCUGUGAAGUCCUGCUCGUUCCUCAAGACUGAAGCGAUAAGGAAACCCCUCACCACUAAUAAAUAUC